ACUCAACACUAAUUUGUUUGAAAAGGGUGAGUUUAGAUUGUAAAAGCAAGCCUUACUUGUAUAAGGAUCCUUGAUCAGUCUGGUAGCCCUAAACCUGUUUUUAGGAGUUU
rnacentral:sRNA from 1 species